rnacentral:rRNA from 1 species
UACGUAGGGGGCAAGCGUUAUCCGGAUUUAUUGGGUUUAAAGGGUGCGUAGGCGGAAUAUCAAGUCAGCGGUAAAAAUUCGGGGCUCAACCCCGUCGUGCCGUUGAAACUGAUGUUCUUGAGUGGGCGAGAAGUAUGCGGAAUGCGCGGUGUAGCGGUGAAAUGCAUAGAUAUCGCGCAGAACUCCGAUUGCGAAGGCAGCGUACCGGCGCCACACUGACGCUGAGGCACGAAAGCGUGGGGAUCGAACAGG